rnacentral:tRNA from 1 species
UAUAUUUAAGUGUAUGAUGCACUUAAACUUUUGAUGUUUAGAGGGACAGUUUAAAUCUGUUGAAUAUAA